rnacentral:rRNA from 1 species
UUAACAAAAACAUGUCUUUUUGAGAAUAAUUUAAAGUCUAAUCUGCCCACUGAAUUUUAAAUGGCCGCGGUACUUUGACCGUGCAAAGGUAGCAUAAUAAUUAGUUUUUUAAUUGAAAGCUGGAAUGAACGAUUGGACGAGGGAAUGACUGUCUCAGUUUAAUUUUUAUUAGAAUUUAAUUUUUGAGUAAAAAAGCUUAAAUUUAUUUGAAAGACGAGAAGACCCUAUAGAGUUUUAUAAAUUAUUAAAUGAAUUUUUUAUUAGAAUUUUUUUAGUUUUAUUUUUUAAUUUAUUUUGUUGGGGUGAUAGAAAAAUUUUUUUAACUUUUUUUAUUUAUGUAUAUAGAUAAGUAUGUUUAUGAUCCAAUGUUUUUGAUUAUAAGAUUAAAUUACCUUAGGGAUAACAGCGUAAUAUUUUUUUAGAGUUCAUAUUAAAAGAAAUGAUUGCGACCUCGAUGUUGGAUUAAAAUGAAUUUUUGGUGUAGAAGCUUGAUUGAUUAGGUCUGUUCGACCUUUAAAAUUUUACAUGAUCUGAGUU